rnacentral:rRNA from 1 species
CAGCAGCCGCGGGAAUACGAAGGGGGCUAGCGUUGUUCGGAUUUACUGGGCGUAAAGGGCGCGUAGGCGGGCGAAUAAGUCAGGGGUGAAAUCCCAAGGCUCAAUCUUGGAACUGCCUUUGAUACUGUUUGUCUUGAGUUCGAGAGAGGUAAGUGGAACUGCGAGUGUAGAGGUGAAAUUCGUAGAUAUUCGCAAGAACACCAGUGGCGAAGGCGGCUUACUGGCUCGAAACUGACGCUGAGGCGCGAAAGCGUGGGGAGCAAACAGGAUUAGAUACCCCUGUAGUCCCUGUCUCUUAUAC